rnacentral:rRNA from 1 species
UACGAAGGGGGCUAGCGUUGCUCGGGAUGACUGGGCGUAAAGGGCGCGUAGGCGGAUGGUACAGUCAGAUGUGAAAUUCCCGGGCUUAACCUGGGGGCUGCAUUUGAUACGUGCGAUCUGGAGUGAGGAAGAGGGUCGUGGAAUUCCCAGUGUAGAGGUGAAAUUCGUAGAUAUUGGGAAGAACACCGGUGGCGAAGGCGGCGACCUGGUCCUUGACUGACGCUGAGGCGCGAAAGCGUGGGGAGCAAACAGG